rnacentral:rRNA from 1 species
UAGGGAAUCUUCCACAAUGGACGCAAGUCUGAUGGAGCAACGCCGCGUGAGUGAAGAAGGUUUUCGGAUCGUAAAGCUCUGUUGUUGGUGAAGAAGGAUAGAGGCAGUAACUGGUCUUUAUUUGACGGUAAUCAACCAGAAAGUCACGGCUAACUACGUGCCAGCAGCCGCGGUAAUACGUAGGUGGCAAGCGUUGUCCGGAUUUAUUGGGCGUAAAGCGAGCGCAGGCGGAAUGAUAAGUCUGAUGUGAAAGCCCACGGCUCAACCACGGAACUGCAUCGGAAACUGUCAUUCUUGAGUGCAGAAGAGGAGGGUGGAAUUCCAUGUGUAGCGGUGGAAUGCGUAGAUAUAUGGAAGAACACCAGUGGCGAAGGCGGCUCUCUGGUCUGCAACUGACGCUGAGGCUCGAAAGCAUGGGUAGCGAACAGG